ensembl:lncRNA
AUGAAUGAAGAUGACAUUCAACUAGUUGAGUUUGCAAAUGCUCUCCUCUUCUAUCUCCAAUUUGCAGGUUGGGUUUUUUCUCCUCUGCUCCCCGUCCCGUGUCCAAUGCCGUGAGUCGGUUCGGCUUUGGAGCGAACGAUGCUGAGUUCUCCUCAGAGCGUCCCAGCUCUGCCCAUCAGCCUGCCCCCUCUCCAGCCCACACAGACAGAGCAGCGUCCACUGGAGCUGACCCAACACCCGACGCCCACACACCCCAUACUGCCACACCACCAACCACCUUACCAUCGCAGGCUGACCGGCCAACCAUCAGCAUCUCAUCAGCUCCUUCUGCGUGUGAAGAUCCUCCGCGUAUCAAGACAGAGGGGUCCAGUUCCCCAACACCUCCUGGUCCCACUCCCUCAGUCUUGAGCACCCUCUUCACCCAUCUGAGUCCUUGUCGGCCUGAUGAGGAUUAUGAUGAUGGACAUGCGGAUCUAGAGAUGGAUGCAGCUGAUAGUUGUACCGACACAGCUCCUCUGAUGGAUGGGACAAGGCUCUGCUCCAAGGUUAGUAAAGAAGAGACUGGAGGUCACACUAAGGCCUCAUCAGUGGUCUCCGAGAGAGUGCUUGCCCUAAAGUCAGAACCUGCCUUCGUCAAAGUGAUGAAAAAAGAGGAAGACGUGAAAGAAGAGCCUGUGGCCAUCCGAAGAAAGCCAGUCCCUUGCUCCACCCCGAUCACAAACCCCCACAGGUCUUACAAACCACUCGCUGUGGACCUGUCGCCCCUUCCUCCUCUCCCCUUUACCGCCUACCAGCCCCAGCCACCUACUCAAGUUCCCUGGGACUUCAGUCCAAAGGCUCCUACUCCCAGCGCACACUCCAACUCCCAGGAGGCUGUGCGGCAGCGUGCCCCUCUCCACACUGAGGUAGGGAUACCUAUGACACAGGCGGACUCGCAGGGCCGGCACAGUCUACCGGUGCAGACUGUGACAUGGUCUGUGCCCUCAAAACGCUCCGUCAGGCAGCCAAUGUUACGGGACAGAAGCCUGAGUGCGGAACUGGAGCCUCGCUGAAAUGUUGAGGUUGUACAGGACUCUGCUAUAUGACUCUCAAGCAGCUGCUGCAACUGUCAACAUGGCGCGCGCACACACACUCACACACACAAACAUAUUAGUUCAGUCCGCAUGCUAUUUAUAUUUUCCCUUGAGCAAAUGUAUGUUUGUUAACUGUGACCACUAACCUCUGUAGUGGACAGGGCCAAGUCAAUGUGUACCAGAUAUCAUUCAGUCUUAUUUUUAUCAGUGAGGAUGCAACAAUAUAGUUUUUCCAAAUGUUUCUACUUUAUUUUGUCUGUACAGUAAAACAUUUU